CGGCAAUGCGCAGCUACACAUGCAGUCGAGCGAGAACUUCGGUUCUAGCGGCGGACGGGUUAGUAACGCGUGGGAACGUGCCCUUCACUACGGAAUAGUCCCGGGAAACUGGGUUUAAUACCGUAUACGCCCUUCGGGGGAAAGAAUUUCGGUGAAGGAUCGGCCCGCGUUAGAUUAGAUAGUUGGUGGGGUAACGGCCUACCAAGUCUACGAUCUAUAGCUGGUUUUAGAGGAUGAUCAGCAACACUGGGACUGAGACACGGCCCAGACUCCUACGGGAGGCAGCAGUGGGGAAUCUUAGACAAUGGGCGCAAGCCUGAUCUAGCCAUGCCGCGUGAGUGAUGAAGGCCUUAGGGUCGUAAAGCUCUUUCGCCAGGGAUGAUAAUGACAGUACCUGGUAAAGAAACCCCGGCUAACUCCGUGCCAGCAGCCGCGGUAAUACGGAGGGGGUUAGCGUUGUUCGGAAUUACUGGGCGUAAAGCGCGCGUAGGCGGAUUGGAAAGUUGGGGGUGAAAUCCCAGGGCUCAACCCUGGAACUGCCUCCAAAACUAUCAGUCUAGAGUUCGAGAGAGGUGAGUGGAACUCCGAGUGUAGAGGUGAAAUUCGUAGAUAUUCGGAAGAACACCAGUGGCGAAGGCGGCUCACUGGCUCGAUACUGACGCUGAGGUGCGAAAGUGUGGGGAGCAAACAGGAUUAGAUACCCUGGUAGU
rnacentral:rRNA from 1 species